GUGGGUUAGUCCAUAACGAGCGCACCCUUAUUUCUAGUUGCCAGCGGUUCGGCCGGGGACUCUAGAGAAACUGCCAGCGUAAGCUGUGAGGAAGGUGGGGACGACGUCAAAUCAUCACGGCCCUUACGUCCUGGGCCACACACGUGCUACAAUGGUGGGGACAACGAGUUGCCAACCCGCAAGGGUGAGCUAAUCUCUCAAACCCCAUCUCAGUUCGGAUCGGAGUCUGCAACUCGACUCCGUGAAGUUGGAAUCGCUAGUAAUCGCGCAUCAGCCAUGGCGCGGUGAAUACGUUCCCGGGCCUUGUACACACCGCCCGUCAAGCCAUGGAAUCUGGGGGCGCCUGAAGUCAGUAACCGCAAGGAGCUGCCUAGGGCGAAUCUGGUAACUAGGGCUAAGUCGUAACAAGGUAGCCGUACCGGAAGGUGCGGCUGGAUUAACUCCUUUUUAGAGAAAAACGACUCUC
rnacentral:rRNA from 1 species